rnacentral:rRNA from 1 species
UGCUUUACACAUGCCAGUCGAACGGUAACAGGCCGCAAGGUGCUGACGAGUGGCGAACGGGUGAGUAAUGCAUCGGAACGUGCCCAGUCGUGGGGGAUAACGCAGCGAAAGUUGCGCUAAUACCGCAUACGAUCUAUGGAUGAAAGCGGGGGACCGUAAGGCCUCGCGCGAUUGGAGCGGCCGAUGUCAGAUUAGGUAGUUGGUGGGGUAAAGGCUCACCAAGCCGACGAUCUGUAGCUGGUCUGAGAGGACGACCAGCCACACUGGGACUGAGACACGGCCCAGACUCCUACGGGAGGCAGCAGUGGGGAAUUUUGGACAAUGGGCGCAAGCCUGAUCCAGCAAUGCCGCGUGCAGGAAGAAGGCCUUCGGGUUGUAAACUGCUUUUGUACGGAACGAAACGGUCCUGGUUAAUACCCGGGGCUAAUGACGGUACCGUAAGAAUAAGCACCGGCUAACUACGUGCCAGCAGCCGCGGUAAUACGUAGGGUGCAAGCGUUAAUCGGAAUUACUGGGCGUAAAGCGUGCGCAGGCGGUUUUGUAAGACAGGCGUGAAAUCCCCGGGCUCAACCUGGGAAUUGCGCUUGUGACUGCAAGGCUGGAGUGCGGCAGAGGGGGAUGGAAUUCCGCGUGUAGCAGUGAAAUGCGUAGAUAUGCGGAGGAACACCGAUGGCGAAGGCA